AUAUUCCCGAAUAGGGACAUGGUGGUGGAUGACAAUGUUAGGAAAUUUGGAUAUGUCAUCGGGGGCCUGGGAAGAGUUAUAUAUAUAUAUUUUAAUGACUUUCCCAACCUAAAAUCGGUUCAACCGGAGAUAGGGUCCAACAUCUGAAAGAGAACCACACGUCUUGCAGUGUUUGGUGCCCCCUUGGAGGCCAUUGUAAAUAUGGUGAAACGAGUACCAUCCAUGCCUGAUCGUACUCAUAUUUGCCUCCUUGAAUUU
rnacentral:ncRNA from 1 species